UAACACUAACUGGAGGACCGAACCGACUAAUGUUGAAAAAUUAGCGGAUGACUUGUGGCUGGGGGUGAAAGGCCAAUCAAACCGGGAGAUAGCUGGUUCUCCCCGAAAGCUAUUUAGGUAGCGCCUCGUGAAUUCAUCUCCGGGGGUAGAGCACUGUUUCGGCAAGGGGGUCAUCCCGACUUACCAACCCGAUGCAAACUGCGAAUACCGGAGAAUGUUAUCACGGGAGACACACGGCGGGUGCUAACGUCCGUCGUGAAGAGGGAAACAACCCAGACCGCCAGCUAAGGUCCCAAAGUCAUGGUUAAGUGGGAAACGAUGUGGGAAGGCCCAGACAGCCAGGAUGUUGGCUUAGAAGCAGCCAUCAUUUAAAGAAAGCGUAAUAGCUCACUGGUCGAGUCGGCCUGCGCGGAAGAUGUAACGGGGCUAAACCAUGCACCGAAGCUGCGGCAGCGACGCUUAUGCGUUGUUGGGUAGGGGAGCGUUCUGUAAGCCUGUGAAGGUGGCCUGUGAGGGUUGCUGGAGGUAUCAGAAGUGCGAAUGCUGACAUAAGUAACGAUAAAGCGGGUGAAAAGCCCGCUCGCCGGAAGACCAAGGGUUCCUGUCCAACGUUAAUCGGGGCAGGGUGAGUCGACCCCUAAGGCGAGGCCGAAAGGCGUAGUCGAUGGGAAACAGGUUAAUAUUCCUGUACUUGGUGUUACUGCGAAGGGGGGACGGAGAAGGCUAUGUUGGCCGGGCGACGGUUGUCCCGGUUUAAGCGUGUAGGCUGGUUUUCCAGGCAAAUCCGGAAAAUCAAGGCUGAGGCGUGAUGACGAGGCACUACGGUGCUGAAGCGACAAAUGCCCUGCUUCCAGGAAAAGCCUCUAAGCAUCAGGUAACAUUAAAUCGUACCCCAAACCGACACAGGUGGUCAGGUAGAGAAUACCAAGGCGCUUGAGAGAACUCGGGUGAAGGAACUAGGCAAAAUGGUGCCGUAACUUCGGGAGAAGGCACGCUGAUAUGUAGGUGAAGCGACUUGCUCGUGGAGCUGAAAUCAGUCGAAGAUACCAGCUGGCUGCAACUGUUUAUUAAAAACACAGCACUGUGCAAACACGAAAGUGGACGUAUACGGUGUGACGCCUGCCCGGUGCCGGAAGGUUAAUUGAUGGGGUUAGCGGUAACGCGAAGCUCUUGAUCGAAGCCCCGGUAAACGGCGGCCGUAACUAUAACGGUCCUAAGGUAGCGAAAUUCCUUGUCGGGUAAGUUCCGACCUGCACGAAUGGCGUAAUGAUGGCCAGGCUGUCUCCACCCGAGACUCAGUGAAAUUGAACUCGCUGUGAAGAUGCAGUGUACCCGCGGCAAGACGGAAAGACCCCGUGAACCUUUACUAUAGCUUGACACUGAACAUUGAGCCUUGAUGUGUAGGAUAGGUGGGAGGCUUUGAAGUGUGGACGCCAGUCUGCAUGGAGCCGACCUUGAAAUACCACCCUUUAAUGUUUGAUGUUCUAACGUGGGCCCCUUACCGGGGUUGCGGACAGUGUCUGGUGGGUAGUUUGACUGGGGCGGUCUCCUCCUAAAGAGUAACGGAGGAGCACGAAGGUUGGCUAAUCCUGGUCGGACAUCAGGAGGUUAGUGCAAUGGCAUAAGCCAGCUUGACUGCGAGCGUGACGGCGCGAGCAGGUGCGAAAGCAGGUCAUAGUGAUCCGGUGGUUCUGAAUGGAAGGGCCAUCGCUCAACGGAUAAAAGGUACUCCGGGGAUAACAGGCUGAUACCGCCCAAGAGUUCAUAUCGACGGCGGUGUUUGGCACCUCGAUGUCGGCUCAUCACAUCCUGGGGCUGAAGUAGGUCCCAAGGGUAUGGCUGUUCGCCAUUUAAAGUGGUACGCGAGCUGGGUUUAGAACGUCGUGAGACAGUUCGGUCCCUAUCUGCCGUGGGCGCUGGAGAACUGAGGGGGGCUGCUCCUAGUACGAGAGGACCGGAGUGGACGCAUCACUGGUGUUCGGGUUGUCAUGCCAAUGGCACUGCCCGGUAGCUAAAUGCGGAAGAGAUAAGUGCUGAAAGCAUCUAAGCACGAAACUUGCCCCGAGAUGAGUUCUCCCUGACUCCUUGAGAGUCCUGAAGGAACGUUGAAGACGACGACGUUGAUAGGCCGGGUGUGUAAGCGCAGCGAUGCGUUGAGCUAACCGGUACUAAUGAACCGUGAGG
rnacentral:rRNA from 1 species